AAAAAAGCUUUGAAGAGAAAAAGUAAGACUAGUGAAUUUUUAGAGAGAUUGCGGUUGGUGGGAAGCAAUCAAGGAACUAGAUUCUGAACACACAUCUCUGAGCUGGCAGUUGAACCUCCAUAUGUGAGCAGUAAACUAUCCCGGGAGUUCCCGUUAUAGGACUAGCGUUUAGAAGCUUGAACGUGAAGAGGUAGCUUUUGUGAAGAAGCUACGAAUAAAGGUGGAACCACGAUACUUAAACAUCGUCCUUUGA
rnacentral:ncRNA from 1 species